CUGCCUUCUUUCAAGUUUGUUACUGUAUACAGAAAAGAAACACUCAGAGCAGUUGCUGCUGCUCUUGACAUAGCAUAUUAAACGUAUUACCUGUUAACCAUAUUAAUCGUCUAGGAUCAAUUCUAAUGAAACCUGAAUAAUCCCAAGGUUGAAACCAUAAGUGUGCCUCAAUUAGCUAUGAAAAUGGUAAUGUUCUAGCGGCGAUGAAUUAACUCUAUGUCUCAUCAGUUGUUUCAAAUGAAUCAGUUUUCAUCCUUGAAGCGAUCCACGGUUGUGAUUUUAUUACAUUUGAGAGCUGAUAGAUAUUCAUGGAAAAGUGUAGCUGGGUAUUAAGGAUUGCCCAUCCUCUGAGUUGUGUUGCUUGUACUAUAGUCCAGAAGUCCUGAUAUUAGUUACCUCUCGCUUCAUCUCAAAGUAGGUUCUCCUUAUGUUUCCUAAUAAUUAAAU